CCUUACACAUGCAAGUCGAGCGCUCACUUCGGUGGGAGCGGCGGACGGGUUAGUAACGCGUGGGAACAUACCCUUUACUACGGAAUAGCCUUUGGAAACGAAGAGUAAUACCGUAUACGCCCUACGGGGGAAAGAUUUAUCGGUAAAGGAUUGGCCCGCGUUAGAUUAGAUAGUUGGUGGGGUAACGGCCUACCAAGUCUACGAUCUAUAGCUGGUUUGAGAGGAUGAUCAGCAACACUGGGACUGAGACACGGCCCAGACUCCUACGGGAGGCAGCAGUGGGGAAUCUUAGACAAUGGGGGAAACCCUGAUCUAGCGAUGCCGCGUGUGUGACGAAGGCCUUAGGGUCGUAAAGCACUUUCGCCAGAGAUGAUAAUGACAGUAUCUGGUAAAGAAACCCCGGCUAACUCCGUGCCAGCAGCCGCGGUAAUACGGAGGGGGUUAGCGUUGUUCGGAAUUACUGGGCGUAAAGCGUACGUAGGCGGAUUAGUAAGUUAGAGGUGAAAUCCCAGGGCUCAACCCUGGAACUGCCUUUAAUACUGCUAGUCUAGAGUUCGAGAGAGGG
rnacentral:rRNA from 1 species